rnacentral:RNase_P_RNA from 1 species
GGAGGCGUCCACCCGAUCGCCGGUUCCCUUUGGGAACGGGAGGAAAGUCCGGGCUCCGCAGGGCAGGGUGCUGGGUAACGCCCAGUCUCGGUGACGAGCAGGACAGUGCCACAGAAAACAAACCGCCGAGCACUCACUUUUCCGUCGAGCCAUUCCGCGCCGGCUCGACGGCGAAGUGAGUGCUCGGUAAGGGUGAAACGGUGAGGUAAGAGCUCACCAGUCCCGGUGGUGACACCGGGAGCUCGGUAAACCCCACCCGGAGCAAGGCCAAGUAGGGGAGCGUUGAAGGGUUGCCCGCCCGAGGCUCCCGGGUCGGCCGCUUGAGCCUCAUGGUAACAUGAGGCCUAGAGGAAUGAUCGGGACCUUUCGUCAGGAAAGGCACAGAACCCGGCUUAUGGGCUCCUCCACAU